UAAUCUCGGUUACUCAGAUCAAUCGACCUGGCGUAUACGUUAGUACACAUGAACUUGUACUGGUAUUCAUCUCAUUCAUCGGAACACAUUUUCUUAUACAUAUAUAUAUAUAUAUAUAUAAUAUUCUUAUGAGGAAAAUCGUUGAUAAUCAAAUAUAUAUACAUACAAACCAAAAUUACAGUUAUUUCGAACCCAAGAAAGACAGUAGAAACCCAAUAUUCUAGAUUUUGGGUUGUAACGUAAUCAUGCAACGCGAAAAUGAUUCGUACACAGAUCAUUUGCAUAUCUCAGCAUGGUGGUCGCAUUCCAGAUACAUGCAUAUAAUGGAGUAUAUUUGUGUAGAUAUUUGCAAAUAUCAGACUGUGCAAGCUCGAACACAUGCAUAACAACACAACAGGAUCAGGACCAACUUCCACCCCAGCCUUGCCUACAGAAAAUGGAUACCAGACAUGCAUUUUCAGGCAUGAAGGUGAACGUUCGACAGGAAAAUGGCCUUGAACAUGAUAACUAGUCAGAGUGGAAGCUCCAUCCGCAUGCCCAUGUUGAAAAUAGACUCGGCAACCGGCACUGGUAGGCGCUGAUGAAAACUCCGGUUCACCUCUCCCGCACAGAAGUCCAAAGUUAAUGAACUAGGCUUGAUAGUAUGACCGCGAAAUCGAAUCAGUGAAGCCAAAAAAAGCAAAGCAUCUAGUGCAAGAACUAAGAAAUAUUUUCUAAAGGUCUCAUCAAAAACGCAACCUGAAAACUGCUGCUGAAGUGCUUGCCAUGCAAUUCGUGCAGCUCCAGCUCGUGGCAACGUUGCCCUUGUUUCAUUUUCCCCGUUACUUUCUUAAUUUUUUUCGUUGCGUCUUCUAGCUGUGAGGCAGACGUCAGCAGCAACUCAAAAACGACCUCUUCUUUAAACCAGCAAUAUCUGUGUACAUAAAAGGGAAAAUUAACUUCCUGAUUUUACCUUUGAACCACGCAUAAUAGGCAUUUCUUUCACUUGCAAUAUGUUGGGUUGUCAUGAACCAUUCGUUAUUGUAUAGAUCUGAUUUUUAUGAACCUUACAUUUAGAUAAUUGAUUUGGAUAACAUGAACUCACCGAACAGCAGAUUUACAUUCCACGUUAUAGAACACAAUAAACAGAGCUGCACCAGGGUAGGUUAGAACUCUAGAGGCACAGCCUUUAAACAUCUCGGGUAUCGUGUAAAUCAGUGCACUGAUAUGGACUAACCAUCAAUUUGGCAGCAACGACCCCGAACAAGCUGCCAAAAGGUGUGGCAAAAAGAAGAGCCAGCUUCAAAUCUGUCUCUAUUAGUGGUACAAAUUUGAAAGAUGCUGGCAUGGAACAAGACAACGAGCAGGAAUAAUUGAGGAACAGUCUCAUGGAUAUGAACACAGCGAUUUUCUCCCCAUCACAUGCAUAAUUUCCUCCAACUACCUUUACUAUAUGAUUCUAUUUUCAGAAUUGCUGAAUUUAUUGAACCUUUUACAACAUUCGUCCGUUAAAGUUCAUAACGAAACCUAUCGAACGUUGAUUAUUGUUAGAAUCCAGAUUCGGGCGACAGGUUCUGGCCAUGAAUCAAACUUAAUCAUUGCUCAAAUGAUCUCCGUACGAGCUCAAAUUAUUCAUCUGAUUUAUGCCACCCGACCCCAAAUGCUUUACAACAGACCGCUCUGCAUUAUGGUUUUUAUGAAACCGUCCUCCUCAACGUCUUCAAGAUAAACAGUUCGGCGAGCAUUUUUUUUCAUCACGUUUCAGUGAUAAUUAAAACCAAUCAUUUCGACAGUUCAAAAGCGACACAUCAAUAUUCCAGACAAUCUGAAUGAUAAAUUGAGACACGAAGUUGCAUAGUAGUCCAAAAACUGACCGAAUCAUGAACACUAUUCCUGACUUCCAGUACAGUUAUGGGGUGAUGAAAUCAGAAAACUGCUAUCAAAGGUCCACAGACGCGGUGGUUAUGAAGGAGGCAAUGCACAAGCACAAGACGAAGGUUCGAAGCAUGCAAUUUGUGGGACCCAACAACGGCAAAUGCAUUACCAGAUGGGAGAGACCAUCAUGCACUUCUUCUGGUGGUCUGAGUAUGGGAAAACUCCUAUUCAAGUCGCACACCCUCACAAAACAUGCAAGAAGCAUCUUCCUAAGCCAUUGCAAAGCACCGAGAACCCAACACAAGGAGGCACACGAGUGGGAGUUCCACCUUAUCCCCGAAGUUCCUGAUGGACUUUUUUCUUCAAGUCCAGCAUUUGGUAGGGCUUGAGCACCGAAACUCUACAUGGAGGUUAGUCCAGCUACAUGAGUUGGGCAUCGCCAACCAACACCCAGCUGCUCAUAGUCCCCAAAAACGGAUAUGCUUGGGCUCACUUUGCGGCUGGAAAACCUUCACAACCUGGAUCCUUGCAUGUUCCAAUGAAGCAUGAAAAACGCACGCAUUUCUUCGCAAUAAGUUCACAAACCACAAUGUAAAAAAAAUCUCCACAGGCAAAUAGAAUCACUCUUCUUAUCAGCAUUAGCACUGAGAGCAAACAGAGUGGGAAGCACAUCCCCACAACCAUUCAAAUG
rnacentral:lncRNA from 1 species